GAUGAACGCUGGCGGCGUGCCUAAUACAUGCAAGUCGAGCGAACAGACGAGGAGCUUGCUCCUCUGACGUUAGCGGCGGACGGGUGAGUAACACGUGGAUAACCUACCUAUAAGACUGGGAUAACUUCGGGAAACCGGAGCUAAUACCGGAUAAUAUAUUGAACCGCAUGGUUCAAUAGUGAAAGACGGUUUUGCUGUCACUUAUAGAUGGAUCCGCGCCGCAUUAGCUAGUUGGUAAGGUAACGGCCUACCAAGGCAACGAUGCGUAGCCGACCUGAGAGGGGAUACGGCCCACCUGAAACUGGAACCCGGUCCGGACUCCUAGGGAGGGCGGCGGUGGGGAAUCUUCCGCAAUGGGCGAAGGCCUGACGGGGCAACGCGGCGGGGGUGAUGAAGGUCUUCGGAUCGUAAAACUCUGUUAUUGGGAAAGAACAAAUGUGUAGGUAACUAUGCAGGUCUUAACGGUACUAAUCAGAAAGCCACGGCUAACUACGUG
rnacentral:rRNA from 1 species